CACAUUUUAAUUUUACAAUAUUAAUCAUUAGAAAGUAAAUUCAGUAUAUGUAAUUUAUUAGCAGGCCAGAUGUCGACAUUCUUUUCUUACUGUUGAAGUGGAUGAUGAUAGAGGGAUAUAUGUCGCUCCCAAUUUCUCGCCAUAUUUGGUCAACUAAAUUGGUCUGUGGAUUUGGAUUGUAAUAACUUACAUAGUUCGAAUAAAAAAUUAUAACAAAUUAUAAUUUGAGGACCGAAAGUGUCACACGCCACUUAGUUUGUGGACCAAAAGUGUGACUUAGCAUUUCUCCCUAGGUUAAAAAGUACAGAGCUUACUUGAACUACGAACCAUUUUGAUUCAGCUACCCGACCUUUCCAAAAAUUCGACUUUACUAUCCAAUCUUUCAAUUCGUUUGAUUUGAGUCAGUCGACGCCAGUCUAACUUCAAAAUUCAAACUAUUUUCGUACUUUAAUAAAUUUAUAAUUGUGAAAUUUGCGGGAAGUAUAGUGACUAAACCUGUAAAGAUAAACGACGCAUUCAAAUUUUGAAGCCAAAGUGCCGUUGACUAGCUCAAAUCAAACAAACUGAAAAAUUAGAUAGCAAAGAAAAGAAUUUUAAAAUUUUAAAAAAAAUUAAACAAUCGAUUCAAAAAUAGUUCAUAAUUUCAAUAAGUUUAUAUAUAUCUUUGUACCUUCUAGAU
rnacentral:lncRNA from 1 species